GGGCGUGUAGCUCAGCGGGAGAGCACUACGUUGACAUCGUAGGGGUCAC
rnacentral:tRNA from 1 species